CUCGUGGGAGGAAUCUAGGAAGCAUUGGCAUGAGCUAUGUUAGCUCCCAUGUCUCUCUCUGCCAGGGUCACUGCUGCAACAGAAGGCAAACUUUGCUCCGAAGUUCGCCUUCUUCUUCUUCGUCAUGAUUGCCAUGGAGGCUUGCCAUUCCUGCUGAUUCUACUUCUGCUGCGUUUCGUAUUUCUGACAUUUGAGCUCUCUGGUUCCUGAAUCAUUGAUCUUCUCCAAAAUGGGAAGAGACCCGGGGAAAUGGAUAAAGACCUUGUUUUCAGGGAAGAAAUCACCAAAGUCUAAUCGAUCAAGCAAAAAAAAUAUCUUGGUAUUCUUUUCCUUUGAUUUUCCUAGUUGUCAUGUUUGACAACCUUUUAUGUAUAUGAUUUGUCAUGGCUGAUCUGCAAUUCUACAUUGUAUAUGAAAAUAACACUCUUUCAGAUU